rnacentral:rRNA from 1 species
UACGAAGGGAGCUAGCGUUGUUCGGAAUCACUGGGCGUAAAGCGCACGUAGGCGGAUUUGUCAGUCAGGGGUGAAAUCCCGGGGCUCAACCUCGGAACUGCCUUUGAUACAGCAAGUCUUGAGUUCGAGAGAGGUGGGUGGAAUUCCUAGUGUAGAGGUGAAAUUCGCAGAUAUCGGGAGGAACACCAAUUGCGAAGGCAGCUCGCUGGGACGGUACUGACGCUGAGGCGCGAAAGCGUGGGGAGCAAACAGG